rnacentral:rRNA from 1 species
UACAGAGGGGGCAAGCGUUAUUCGGAAUUAUUGGGCGUAAAGGGCGCGUAGGCGGCAUGGCAAGUGGAAGGUGAAAUCCCUCGGCUUAACCGAGGAACUGCCCUCCAAACUGCUUUGCUUGAGGCCGGGAGAGGUGAGUGGAAUUCCCAGUGUAGCGGUGAAAUGCGUAGAUAUUGGGAGGAACACCAGUGGCGAAGGCGGAUCUCUGGGCCUGUCCUGACGCUGAGGCGCGAAAGCUAGGGGAGCGAACAGG